rnacentral:rRNA from 4 species
UACGGAGGGUGCAAGCGUUAUCCGGAUUCACUGGGUUUAAAGGGUGCGUAGGCGGCUAUAUAAGUCAGUGGUGAAAGCCCGCAGCUCAACUGCGGAAUUGCCAUUGAAACUGCAUAGCUUGAAUCUGGUUGAAGUGGGCGGAAUACAUCAUGUAGCGGUGAAAUGCUUAGAUAUGAUGUAGAACACCGAUUGCGAAGGCAGCUCACUAAGCCAACAUUGACGCUGAGGCACGAAAGCGUGGGUAGCGAACAGG